rnacentral:rRNA from 1 species
AGCGAACGCUGGCGGCAGGCUUAACACAUGCAAGUCGAGCGGGCACUUUCGGGUGUCAGCGGCGGACGGGUGAGUAACGCGUGGGAACGUGCCCUCUGGUUCGGAAUAACUCAGGGAAACUUGAGCUAAUACCGGAUACGCCCUUUUGGGGAAAGGCUUGCUGCCGGAGGAUCGGCCCGCGUCUGAUUAGCUAGUUGGUGAGGUAACGGCUCACCAAGGCGACGAUCAGUAGCUGGUCUGAGAGGAUGAUCAGCCACACUAGGACUGAGACACGGCCCAGACUCCUACGGGAGGCAGCAGUGGGGAAUAUUGGACAAUGGGCGCAAGCCUGAUCCAGCCAUGCCGCGUGAGUGAUGAAGGCCUUAGGGUUGUAAAGCUCUUUUAUCCGGGACGAUAAUGACGGUACCGGAGGAAUAAGCCCCGGCUAACUUCGUG